rnacentral:rRNA from 1 species
CUUUUGAUGGGCGUCGACCGGCGCACGGGUGAGUAACGCGUAUCCAACCUGCCCAUCACUUGGGGAUAACCUUGCGAAAGUAAGACUAAUACCCAAUGACUUCUCUAGAAGACAUCUGAAAGAGAUUAAAGAUUUAUCGGUGAUGGAUGGGGAUGCGUCUGAUUAGCUUGUUGGCGGGGUAACGGCCCACCAAGGCUACGAUCAGUAGGGGUUCUGAGAGGAAGGUCCCCCACAUUGGAACUGAGACACGGUCCAAACUCCUACGGGAGGCAGCAGUGAGGAAUAUUGGUCAAUGGACGAGAGUCUGAACCAGCCAAGUAGCGUGCAGGAUGACGGCCCUAUGGGUUGUAAGCUGCUUUUAUAAGGGAAUAAAGUGAGUCUCGUGAGACUUUUUGCAUGUACCUUAUGAAUAAGGACCGGCUAAUUCCGUGCCAGCAGCCGCGGUAAUACGGAAGGUCCGGGCGUUAUCCGGAUUUAUUGGGUUUAAAGGGAGCGUAGGCCGGAGAUUAAGCGUGUUGUGAAAUGUAGAUGCUCAACAUCUGCACUGCAGCGCGAACUGGUUUCCUUGAGUACGCACAAAGUGGGCGGAAUUCGUGGUGUAGCGGUGAAAUGCUUAGAUAUCACGAAGAACUCCGAUUGCGAAGGCAGCUCACUGGAGCGCAACUGACGCUGAAGCUCGAAAGUGCGGGUAUCGAACAGGAUUAGAUACCCUGGUAGUCCGCACGGUAAACGAUGGAUGCCCGCUGUUGGUCUGAAUAGGUCAGCG